rnacentral:tRNA from 1 species
GGGGACGUAGCCAAGCGGAUUAAGGCGGCAGAUUGCAAAUCUGCUAUUCCUCGGUUCGAAUCCGGGCGUCCCCUCCA